rnacentral:lncRNA from 1 species
CAUUUCUUCCAUCCACUUUCUAGCCUCAGAAGAUCGACCAAUUUUUAAGAAGCCGUGAACUAAUGUAUCGUAAGUCCAUCGAUUUGGCUCAUAUCCUUUCUUGCAUAAUCUAUCGAAAUACUUGCAAGCAAGGUCAAGUGUAUACGUCAAGUGGAAAGCAUUUUCGAAACAGUUCUUCAAGCCGUGAACUAAUAUAUCGUAAGUCCAUCGAUUUGGCUCAUAUCCUUUCUUGCAUAAUCUGUCGAAAUACUUGCAAGCAAGGUCCAUUUCAGUUAUGGUUAGUUUUCUCAACAACAAAUUGUAAGUGUAUACAUCAAGUGGAAAGCAUUGUCGAAUCAGUUCUUCCAUUUCCAAAAUAUCUCCGUCCAGAUUACUACCACCAGAGAAAGUCUU